CCCCUCUCAGGAUUGCAUAUGGAGAGUUUGCAGUACUCUAUCGGUCUCGACUACGGGAGGGAGAGUCAAGCAGAGGCCUGCCCAUUCCAUUCCUGGCUUGGCCAGUGGCUAGUGAGUGGAAGGCAAUCUGCUCCAAGU